CAGGAAAUGGGAACGUAGUAGGGACUAGUCAAGGAAUGGAGUGACGGUCCGAGAUGGUUGUUUUAGUAGUUCUCAUUAUUUAGUGUGAUAAUAAAUGUAAUGAGGAUUGAAUUUGAGUUUGAAUACUGUCUACUAGACAAUAUUCGUGUAAAAACUCUUAGCUACAUUUUUGUCGUAUUGUAUUAGGAAGUUUGUAUUUGAAUUUUGUACCAUGUAUUUGACGAUUCAGAAUGCGUGAUGUAUACCUAUUUUGAGGGCGUCACAAUUUUCCUAGUGGAGUACCUAUAUAUCCAUUAUGCUAG
rnacentral:lncRNA from 1 species